AAGCAGUGUUGAGCUCUCCUGGCUGAUUUUGUGCUCUGCUGUUGUUGUGCAGAUCCUUGCUGACGAUGGUGGUGGCUGGAGGCAGCACUCUUGAAGAUUAUAUCAUUUACAGACAAGAUCUCUGAAAUCUCUUUCCUUCAGACAGCAAAGGAAGAAGAGGCUUUAUCACAACAAAACGGGCAAAAACCACAAAGACUUGAAGAAACAGCACUUCUCCAAUUCUUCCCAAAAGUUUUCCCAGAAGCACCAAAUCCUAAAGGAUUUCACCCACCAGUCUUCCUGAUUGCAGCUGGCAGAUGUAAGUGGGGUGCAGGAGUUCCUCACAUGAGGGGUGGAGGGAGGCAAGGAGCUGACCCCAAUGGACAUAGCCCAUCAUCGAGAGCACCAGGAGACUGUCUAGAGCAAAGCUCAAAGUGCAGCAGCAGUUCUAAAAAGCCUACAAGAUCCCCAAGAUAA
rnacentral:lncRNA from 1 species